GAUCAAAGUGUAGUAUCUGUUCUUAUCAGCUUAAUAUCUGAUACGUCCCUCAUCGAGGGACUUCGAUAUUAAACUGAUUUUUGGAACUAGGUCAAGAUUCAGGGGCUUGCUCCGACUUGACCACGGGUUGGC
rnacentral:snRNA from 1 species